CCAAUAGGGAGGUCAGAUUCACAACUUGAAGAUGGGAAGGGGUGCAGAGCCAACAGGAUACUUAGAAUACUAUAGAGCUACAAAGCCUGGUGCUCUUGAGUGAUCCAAUGGGGCCAGUAGAACGGGGGCUGCUGGAAUGUGUGGCCAAUGGGACCCUCAGCCCAGAAGGACGGGGCUCUAGGCAACCUGGCAUCGGGCAUGUUCUGCGAGUUUCUGCAGCAGAUCAGCUCAACGGCAGACUUCCUGGAAGUGGUACACAUGAUUUACCGACUACCCACUGGGGUCCGAGGGAGCCUGAGGGCCUGUAUCUGGGCAGAACUAUGGCGGAGGAUGACAAUGCCAGAGCCAGAACUGACCACCCUGGGCCCAGAACUGAGCGGGCUUGACACCAAACUACUCCUGGAUUUACCGUAAAUGCUACACCUGGAGAUACUGGAUCCCCAUUAAGCUCAGCUUAGAGUAGAUGUGCCCUUAGGAAAUAGCCUCACUGAGGCAGUUCUCUGAAUGGUGGUUUCUGGAUGGCAUUUAUAGCCAAAAGCAGGGGCUUUUAUUCAUAUGACCCCACCAUGGACAGCAGAGGGUGGCAACACUGCUUGCUCUGCCAAGUAAUCUUCAUAUAGCUCAGGCCACAUUCAUGGAGUAUGAAAUGAGGGAGGCAAUGGUCCAGUUCUCCCCUAGAGAACUGUAAUCUGCUUACAGCACUGUGUUCAGAAGAGUGGAUAAAAAGAAAAUUAUGAAAU
rnacentral:lncRNA from 1 species